GGUUCGGUAAGCGCCACAGUUUCUCAUGCCAGUCUAGCACAGCCCUAUGAGAAAGCGAGAGUGCCUGUGUAAAUUUGUGCGGCAAGGUUGCUACCCAAACCGAAGAAAGCCCGCCGGACGAUGACAAGCCAGGCUACAGCGGCUGUCAUAGUAGAGGACAUUAUCCUGUGAACUAAAGGAAUUCGCCGUAUCAUAUAGGCAUUCUGUUGUAAUCGACCUUUUAAAGAAAAGAAAAAAACAGACGGGCAAACGAAGUUGCGCGCACUGAAUGUUCAUAGAUUAAUUAUUGUGUUCGUAGCUAAUAUCAGCCCGGUGAAACCUUGCAUCGGUUUUUGGGGAUCUUUAGGCUAUGAAUGAGGCGACAUUGGGUAUCUGAAAUUUUCUAGGGAUUGGGAGUGAAUGGACCUUGGGUAAAAUCUCUAAAUUGAUUGAGCAUCAUUGAGGAACGCCGUUGUAGACUUUACCGUAGUAGGCUACUCCGAGCAUUUCCCGUGGAUGUAAGUAGCUACAACACUCCAUCACCUAAAGGAAGAGAAGACAAUUCAUUACUGGCUGUGUGAUCAGAAUAAAAACAGCACCAGGAGCUUCCAUUGAAACCCGAAAGAUGUUUGGACAUCAGCCUGGCUAAUAGAAACCUGAAGCACACGGGCUGACAUACAGCUCUGAUGACAAGACACCAGU
ensembl:lncRNA